rnacentral:misc_RNA from 1 species
UGGUUGGACAGCCCUAUUGCUACGACCUCUUUAUCGCGCUGUCUCAUCAAGGGACACCGACGCGAAUACGCCCAAACACCUCACGAAUCAUAUGCGAGCAGACACACUCGGAAUCAUAGGCGGAGCUCGAAGCAAGUGACGACAUCUUUUUAGGAGGAGCUAGCAAGCAAUAUGAGCGGGGUUCGAGUCGCUGCCUUUAGCAAAUACUUCGCCAUCGGCGCACUCUGCGCGGCUCUCGUGUGUGCGCGGCACAGUGCCUUCCUCGUUGCCGAUGACUCGCUGCAGUUCCAGCGUGUCUGCACGAGCGUGGCGCGCUACGCGGAUGAGGCUGCUGCGCUGGAGGAAUAUGUGGAGUCACAGGGGCUCUCUAUCGCCAAGAUCCAGUCGAAGAUGAACCUCCCGUGGCCAGCGGCGGCCAAGUAAGGAGGGCCGUACAGGGGGAGGAGGAGGAAGGGUGUGCAGUAGGGUCGGUGGACAAGAGUGUGUGUGUGGGCUUGCCUGUCUCUUCUUGCCCUCUCUUACAACACCCCCCUUCCCCUGCCACUUAUAUCCUCCGCAUCACGGUCUAUCACACACGCAAGAAAUAUCCACGCACAAGGGGCCAUGCAUGCGCUGGCAGCCGCAUCGCAGGUCUCAUACUUCCAGAAGACGACCCCGUUUGAUGCGCACGGCUGCGAGGGCGGACGCGUGCCCCUUUUCAUCGACAGAAGACGACAGCACUCAAAGCGAUACAGACCAGGGCGCAUGAUCAGUGCCGCGAUGGUGUGAUGGCCACGUCCUUCUCCCCUCUUCCUCUAUCGAUGGCCUUCCCACGCCGCUUCCGGCGAGACGGGUGGAUGAUGGAGGGACAGGAAACACAAGAAAAACAGAAGAAGCGCACGCUGUCGUGUGGAACAGCGUGCCGCGACUGGUGCUGCUACGUCUGCUGCGGCUGCACCACCUUCUUUGCAGGAACGUUUGCGAUGUCCUCGCUGCCUUCAUUCUUAUUUUCGCCGCCUUCGUCCUCCUCUGUGCCCACUCCGACGCGGUUCCCCUUCGACACACACACGCACUCGCGCACACACACACACACACACACACACACACACGCGCGCGAAUCAUUACAACAUGCGUCAUGUCUGCGCACAAG